rnacentral:lncRNA from 1 species
UCCCCUGACCCUCCUCCGCCUCCCCCGCCACCAAACAAGAACCACAGCCUCGCCGCCACCCCGCCCUCCCCCGGCGGCGCCGCGCCGCCCCUGUACCGCUUGGCGCAGAUGAAGAUAUAAAAGCAGAGCACGAACGAUAUGAACACGGCCGCCACCGCCGCCAUCAUCGUGGUCGCCGCCGCCACCGUCGUCGCCGUCACCGCCAUCAACCACCUCCUCAAUUCCUUCCCCCUCAAAUGCAAACACCGCAACCGUUCUUGGCACCCACGCCUCCCUCUCCCUCUCCCUCUCCCUCCCUGUUCUCGCAAGCUUCUUGGUUGGCGCGAGAUACGAUAUAUUUUUAAGCGGGGUGAUUUGGAGCUGGAUUAAGGUAAUGAGGCGCGCGCUGGCUACUUAUAUGGCGGGGGCGAAGGCGAAGCAUUGGAGAGGAUAAGCGGAGGAGGAUGGUUUGGAGGAGAAGGUGAG